AGUGAACGCUGGCGGCGUGCCUAAUACAUGCAAGUCGAACGGAGAUUAAGUAGCUUGCUAUUUAAUCUUAGUGGCGCACGGGUGAGUAAUAUAUAGCUAACUUGCCCAUUACUAAGGGACAACAGUUGGAAACGACUGCUAAUACCUUAUACUCCGUAUCUAUAUAAGUAGAUACGGGAAAGUUUUUCGGUAAUGGAUAGGGCUAUAUCGUAUCAGCUAGUUGGUAAGGUAAUGGCUUACCAAGGCUAUGACGCGUAACUGGUCUGAGAGGAUGAUCAGUCACACUGGAACUGAGACACGGUCCAGACUCCUACGGGAGACAGCAGUAGGGAAUAUUGCUCAAUGGGGGAAACCCUGAAGCAGCAACGCCGCGUGAAGGAUGACACUUUUCGGAGCGUAAACUCCUUUUCUUGGGAAAGAAUUAUGACGGUACCCAAGGAAUAAGCACCGGCUAACUCCGUG
rnacentral:rRNA from 1 species